CCUUCCUCCUUCAGCAUGGCCACCUCUAAUUUGUGUGACCAUCAGGAUAAAAAGUUUGAUAUACGCGAGGCAACCGACGCCGGGCAUGACGCACCAUCGGCCCAGACCAGCAGCGAGCGAGGAGGAAGCGUCACCUGCACCGUUCUCUAUACUAACUCUUGUUUUGUGGCGUCAGCGGACGAAACAUCAUUCAAAAUGGUGAAGGAGCAGGAACACUCCGAGCCGGAGCAGAUGCGAAAGCUGUUCAUCGGUGGCCUUGAUUACCGCACCACCGACGACAGCCUGAAGGCAUACUUUGAGCAGUAUGGCGAGAUUGUUGAUGUUGUUGUGAUGAAGGACCCCAAGACCAAGAGGUCCCGGGGCUUUGGCUUCGUUGCCUUCUCUCAGGCAUACAUGGUAGAUGAGGCACAGAAGAACAGGCCACACAAGAUUGACGGUCGCUCUGUUGACACAAAGCGUGCAGUUCCCCGUGACGAAAUUGGGAAGCCAGAAUCUGGUGUAACAGUAAAGAAGUUGUUUGUUGGUGGUAUCAAGGAUGAUGUAGAUGAAGAUGACUUGCGUGACACAUUCAGUCAGUUUGGUGAAGUAGUGUCUGUCAGCAUUCCUACAGAGAAAGAAUCUCAAAAGAAGAGAGGAUUUGCCUUUGUGGAGUUUGAGGAUUAUGAUGCCGUUGAUAAGGCUUGCUGUGAGUGCCUACACAAGAACAUCCAAUUAAAAGGAAAACGGGUAGAUGUGAAAAAGGCUCUGAGUAAGAAUGAGAUUCAGAUGCAGCAGCGCGGUCGCAUGGGUGGAAUGGGCGGCAUGGGACGUGGCGGAGGAAAUGGUCCAUGGGCCGGCAACAGGAAUAAUGAUUGGGGGAACAAUCAAGGUGGUGGUGGUUGGCAAGGUACUGUAUCAUCAGAUAACCGAAGCGGCUGGGGGAAUCAGGGCAACUACGGCACACCCAACCAGGGAGGGCCAGGUGGCUACAACCAGGGUGGAUAUGGUAACCAAGGGCCGUGGCAGGGUGGACCACCAAACAACCAGGGAUGGAACAACCAGAGUAACCAAGGCUGGAAUCCUCAGGCCAGCAACUAUGGUGGCACACCAAACAAUUGGGGCCAGGGCCCCAGUGACUUUGGUAACAACUAUGGUCAAAGCUAUGGAGGUGGACCUAUGAGGAAUCAAGGAUAUGGUCAGACAAACCGAUCAACCCCGUACAGUGCUGCUGGAGGCAACACGAGCUACGACGGGGAGCAGAGCAACAAGUGACAACGACAGCAGGAACGUGGAGUGGGGGAGCGCCAGUCACAAGGGGAAGCCCUGAGUAACAGUGGCGGUCCCAACAACUAUGGCGGCGGAAGUGGUGGUGGCGGAGGUGGUGGUGGCGCCGUUAGCAUGAACCAAGGGCCCAACAGACGAUAUUAAGACUGGUGGAUUUUUGGUACAUAGCAGGUUAGCCAUGCAGGCAGGCAGACAGGCAGGGCUUGAGUCAGGGCCCCAGACAGUCAGGAUAUGCUAGGACUGAGGCAGGCAAGCUGAGCUAGGGUCAUAGGGAGGCAGCCAGGCUCCUCGACACACCCAAGAGCCAGUGCAAGAGAAACAUUCCAUUCGUCGCAUGGACUAGCCACUUGCCUCCUGUGCUAGGAGAAACAAUGAACAUUUUUUGAAAAAAAUAUUUUGUGCUUGCAUUUUAUAUAUUUAGGAUACUGUGUAGUAUAAAAUGAUUAUCAUAUUACUGAAUUUAACCAAAGCAUAGUCAGUUCUUUGUAAUAUGUGUGCAGCAAUGUAUUUUCAUUUUACAAAUAAAUUAAUCCUAAGAA